CCUACGGGUGGCAGCAGUGGGGAAUAUUGGACAAUGGGCGCAAGCCUGAUCCAGCAAUGCCGCGUGGGUGAAGAAGGUCUUCGGAUUGUAAAGCCCUUUCGGCGGGGACGAUGAUGACGGUACCCGCAGAAGAAGCCCCGGCUAACUUCGUGCCAGCAGCCGCGGUAAUACGAAGGGGGCUAGCGUUGCUCGGAAUGACUGGGCGUAAAGGGCGCGUAGGCGGUUUGCAAAGUCGGACGUGAAAUUCCCGGGCUCAACCUGGGGGCUGCGUUCGAUACUUGUAGACUGGAGUCCGGAAGAGGAUGGUGGAAUUCCCAGUGUAGAGGUGAAAUUCGUAGAUAUUGGGAAGAACACCGGUGGCGAAGGCGGCCAUCUGGUCCGGUACUGACGCUGAGGCGCGAAAGCGUGGGGAGCAAACAGGAUUAGAUACCCGAGUAGUC
rnacentral:rRNA from 1 species